rnacentral:rRNA from 1 species
AGAGUUUGAUCCUGGCUCAGAUUGAACGCUGGCGGCAUGCCUUACACAUGCAAGUCGAACGGCAGCAUGAUCUAGCUUGCUAGAUUGAUGGCGAGUGGCGAACGGGUGAGUAAUACAUCGGAACGUGCCCUGUAGUGGGGGAUAACUAGUCGAAAGAUUAGCUAAUACCGCAUACGACCUGAGGGUGAAAGUGGGGGACCGCAAGGCCUCAUGCUAUAGGAGCGGCCGAUGUCUGAUUAGCUAGUUGGUGAGGUAAAGGCUCACCAAGGCGACGAUCAGUAGCUGGUCUGAGAGGACGAUCAGCCACACUGGGACUGAGACACGGCCCAGACUCCUACGGGAGGCAGCAGUGGGGAAUUUUGGACAAUGGGGGCAACCCUGAUCCAGCAAUGCCGCGUGUGUGAAGAAGGCCUUCGGGUUGUAAAGCACUUUUGUCCGGAAAGAAAUCGCACUUACUAAUAUUAGGUGUGGAUGACGGUACCGGAAGAAUAAGGACCGGCUAACUACGUGCCAGCAGCCGCGGU